rfam:Picea glauca, whole genome shotgun sequence.
AUAUAGUUUUUGUUCAUGAUAUCAACAUGUGCCCCUGGUGCAGAUCUUGGUGGUAGUAGAAAAUAUUCAAAUGAGAACUUUGAAGAGUGAACUGGGGAAAUGUUCCAUGUGAACAUCACUUGGACAUGGCUAGUUAGUCGAUCCUAAGAGAUGGGGAAUCCGUGUAUCAAGGGUGUGCUCUGCAUAAACAUCGAAAGAGAAUUGGGUUAAUAUUCCUGAACCAGGACAUGGUGGUGGAAAACAAUGUUAGGAAAUCUGGAGAUGUCAUUGGGGGUCUAGGAAGAGUUAUCUUUUCUUUUUAACGCAUUUGACUCAUAACCACUACAAUUUUUAGAAUCCAAAACCCCUAAACCCUUGAAAAUUUAACCCUAAUCUUUAACACUUAUAACCCCAAGCAUGUGCAUUAACUAUUACAUCUAAUAUCCAUUAUUAGUACUAGUC